GAUGAACGCUGGCGGCGUGCUUAACACAUGCAAGUCGAACGGUGAACGAGGGAGCUUGCUCCCUCCGGAUCAGUGGCGAACGGGUGAGUAACACGUGAGCAAUCUGCCCUGGACUCUGGGAUAAGCGUUGGAAACGACGUCUAAUACCGGAUACGAGGCGUGGGGGCAUCCCCAACGCCUGGAAAGAACUUCGGUCCAGGAUGGGCUCGCGGCCUAUCAGCUAGUUGGUGAGGUAACGGCUCACCAAGGCGACGACGGGUAGCCGGCCUAAGAGGGUGACCGGCCACACUGGGACUGAGACACGGCCCAGACUCCUACGGGAGGCAGCAGUGGGGAAUAUUGCACAAUGGGCGCAAGCCUGAUGCAGCAACGCCGCGUGAGGGACGACGGCCUUCGGGUUGUAAACCUCUUUUAGCAGGGAAGAAGCGAAAGUGACGGUACCUGCAGAAAAAGCACCGGCUAACUACGUGCCAGCCGCCGCUGUAA
rnacentral:rRNA from 1 species